rnacentral:rRNA from 1 species
UGAGGAAUAUUGGUCAAUGGACGAGAGUCUGAACCAGCCAUGCCGCGUGAAGGAUGAAGGCGUUCUGCGUUGUAAACUUCUUUUAUCUGGGAAGAAACCUCUUUUUUCUAAAGGAGCCGACGGUACCAGAGGAAUAAGCACCGGCUAACUCCGUGCCAGCAGCCGCGGUAAUACGGAGGGUGCAAGCGUUAUCCGGAUUUACUGGGUUUAAAGGGUGUGUAGGCGGACUUUUAAGUCAGCGGUGAAAUCUCCGGGCUCAACCCGGAAACUGCCAUUGAUACUAUUAGUCUUGAAUAUUGUUGAGGUAGGCGGAACGGGUCAUGUAGCGGUGAAAUGCAUAGAUAUGACCCGGAACACCGAUUGCGAAGGCAGCCUACUAAGCAAUUAUUGACGCUGAGGCACGAAAGCGUGGGGAUCAAACA